rnacentral:tRNA from 1 species
GGGGUUUUAUUUUAAGAUAAAAUAUGUGUUUUGCAAAUACAAGAUUUAAACUCUA